AGUGAACGCUGGCGGCAGGCCUAACACAUGCAGGUCGAGCGGCAGCGGGUCCUUCGGGAUGCCGGCGAGCGGCGGACGGGUGAGGAAUGCGUCGGAAUCUGCCUUUUUGUGGGGGAUAACGUAGGGAAACUUACGCUAAUACCGCAUACGACCUACGGGUGAAAGUGGGGGACCGCAAGGCCUCACGCAGAAAGAUGAGCCGACGCCGGAUUAGCUAGUUGGCGGGGUAAAGGCCCACCAAGGCGACGAUCCGUAGCUGGUCUGAGAGGAUGAUCAGCCACACUGGAACUGAGACACGGUCCAGACUCCUACGGGAGGCAGCAGUGGGGAAUAUUUGACAAUGGGCGCAAGCCUGAUCCAGCCAUGCCGCGUGUGUGAAGAAGGCCUUCGGGUUGUAAAGCACUUUUGUCCGGAAAGAAAUCCAAUCGAUUAAUACUCGGUUGGGAUGACGGUACCGGAAGAAUAAGCACCGGCUAACUUCGUGCCAGCCGCCGCCGUAACAC
rnacentral:rRNA from 1 species